GUGGUCUGAUGCCCGAGUUCACACAGGAAGCCAAUGCAAGAGCAGCAGCUUUUCUCCUGGGUCUCACAUUGGCAUUUGGACAGCUGAACCCAGCUUCCUGCACUCUGAGCUCAAGCAGGACACAGAGAUACAUUCAUUUGGCCAAGGGAUGGUGACUCCAUGAAGAUAAGACCGUUGGCUCUCUAUGAAAAAAAAAAAAAGUUUUUCUCAAAUGCAGAAUAUGGAUCUGUCAUAAAAAAGAUUUUAAAGAGAUGAAGAGGAGGGAGGAAAAAUUAUUACAAGAAUUGUUAAAGAGGACUCAGUGAGGAGAGGAACUCCGACCAACAUGGAAGUGCUUGUGGCAAAUCUGAAGUCCAAGGGUACCCUUGCCUGAAGAGACCAUGAAGUGAGGGAGUUAAGAUCCAUAGUGCAGCCAGAACAAGCUCACUACUUGUGAAUGCCUUAUCCCUGUAAGCAUUCAAGGCCAGGUGGGAUGGGGUUUUGGUCAACCUGACCUAGUGAAAAGUGUCACUGCUCAUGUCAGGGGAUCAGAAUUAGACAUUUUUUAUGAUCCUUUCCCACCAAAAACUUUCCAUGAUUCUAAGAUUCUAUGGCUUCCAUUUAAGUCAAUUAACUGCAAUUUUUCUUCUAUUUCUUCACCUCUGUUGUUUUUAAAAACAUGUUGAAAAUUAUCUACUUUAGAUUUUAUGAAUAAAUUUGUUUACUUAUACAUGUAUUCAUAUCUAUAUUAACCUAAUUUGAUUUAAGCAUAUUUUUUCUAAUUUAUUAUCUAUAGUGAGUUCCUUCCCCAGGAUCUCUAGAACUGUACACUGGGACUUCAUGUCCCAAGAGCUGCAGCUCCAUCGAGCAUGUUUUGCUUUAUCGAAAGGUUAACAGAAGAACUGCUCAUUUGAACUACAUGUUUUACAUGGAGAUUUGACAUCAUAGGAAUUGCAAAAAUUGAAUCUGUCUUCCAGAAAUUGUUUGUGACAAACUCUUUGGUUUACAGAAAGUUUGGGAUUUUUCUCAUAAAAAUUUUGAAGCUACUUACACCUUUAAAAGUAAAAUAACUUUCAAAAUGAGAUUUUUUUUUUUCCUGAGGAAGAAAUGGGAUCCCUUGCAAAGGCAAGGGAAAGCUACCAGUGCUCAUGAAGUGGAUUAGUGGUAUAACAUCUCAGAAUUUACAUAGUGUUAGAUUGAUAAUUUAGUAGCAGAAAGUAAUCUCCAAGAGAUUGCUUCAUCAAGGAAAUAAUAAAUUGCUUGCAUUCUAAUAUCACACAGUAACGAAAAAGAAGAAAAAUAAAAGAAAGAAUAUAUUACAAACUGACCUUAGUUGUAGGAGAAUAAUUUCCUUGUUAGAAAAGCAUAUGCAACACAAACUUCUCUCCUAUUUGUUGAGGGACCAAAGUUAUUACAAACAACCCGUAGAAUAGCUCAGAAUUGCUUACCCCAAAGGGCAGAGCACCCCUUUCUGCAUCAAUCUCUGCUGACAGGGAGGAACCUGAUUGCAUACUUGGAUUUUGUUGUACUAUCUUAGAUAAAAUAAAGGAAUAAAAAGUCUAAUAUUUGUCCUUGGAAAGACAAACAUAUUGUUUGAACAGAAAGCAAGAACUUUGAGUAAGUCAGCAUACAAAACAUAGCAAAAGUACAAUUUCCCAUUGUUGACAGUACGCAUUAAGUUUGUUCCACAAUCAGAAACAAUACAUCUAAAGUGGGAAAUGAGCAAAACAUCAGCCUUCUAGAGAACCUGUUGUGCAUCUUCUCCAGCAGAUUCAUCAGCUUGGGGGAUUUCUCACAGCUGUUGUUAAAUGGUACUGGCCACUUAAAAUGUGGUGUAAUUUUUGCAAUUAAAUUGUGAAUAUUCAGUGAAGUAAAUGCAAUCAAUUUCACACAAUAGUAUUAUCUGUCACUUCACAUAUUAUUAACAUUUCAUUUUGUCCACUUCAAAAAAAAGCACUUCCCUGGUGUAGCCAAAAUAAAUGAAUCAAAGUAAAUAUCACAAAGACAUUUUUUUUGGUUGAGAUCACUCUCAUACUUCUGCUAUCACUUCUCAAAGAUUUGCAAAAACUAAAAUUUCCGGUGAUGAUAUCCACUUAUGUUCAGUUCUUAGUGUGAAAGCAAGAAGUGAUUAUCAAUCCAGCAGACCAUAAAGACCUUUUCAAUAGAUCCUAUCCUUUUCCUCUGGAAGCUCAUUAUGCUCAUUAAUCACUUGAGUAAAUGCCAAGGAAUCUGAUUCCAGGUUUCCACUCCUUGUUUGGACAUUUGACUCCUGCUGUAGCAGCUACAAAGGGUUUGUUUGUUUGAUUGAUUGAUUGAUGGAUGGAGGAGAAAUAGGCUUCUGAACAAAUGCAGAGAACGUGGAUGUUAAUACCACAUCAUCAAGGAAAUUGUAUGGGAAGAACAUGGUCUACAUAGGUAGAUUAUCCUCAAAUACAACAAAUGUACUCUGAAUUCCAUAGAACUUUUUCAUUGUGAUUCUUUAAUUUUAGUUACAUAUCACUUUAUUGUGGAUAUUUGAAGACUGUAUUGCGUUUUUUUUUUCCUGUUUCUUUUUUUUUUUUUUUUUUUAGUGGAAUUCAGAGAAAUCAUGAAGAAAUGCUAGUAUUAAAUUAGUUUCUGAUAUUUCUUCUUGCAGUUAGAUGCAUAUAACACCUACAUAUUCAAGUCAGUAGAAUAAAAUGAUUGUAUUUGUGCAUAUAAAGUAAUAUCAGCAACCAAAGAACUUUUAUAGUUUAUCUGCAUUUAUCAAAAUAUACUGUGUGUUAGUAUACCAUAAUAAAUGAGGAGGAAAGAGAUUACUGAUUUUAUACAACCCCUUUCUUUUAUAGCAGUGCACAGUGCUGAGCAUUGUACUUUUUUGUAAGUACUCCCAUUGUACUGAACAAAAUUUUCUUCCUGAUUCUUAUAGCUGAGAAAAAUAAAGGUAUGGAAAAAAAAUGUUAACGUCACCCAGCAUCACUAGCCAGUGUAUUUUUCUAUGUCUCUACCAAAUAAUCACUUUGUUCUUCCUGAAAAAUGGAAUCUGUCAGUCUGUAUUAUGCUGUACUAUGUAGGGAAAACUAGACUACACACCAGCUCUUUUACAUCGCUUCUUAAAACAAAUCCUUAUUAGCAUUUUGAUGCUGAAUGCUUCUCAUGAGAAGUCAUUACAUGUAGCCAAGCAACUGCAUCUCUCACUCUGUGUACUGAGUGCCUGGGUAGAACUAACCAUAUAUCAAAUUUAUGCAACUAAACCAUGAAUCAAUAUUAUUCUUCAUGAAUUGUCAAAAAAAGCUCUCAUAGGCUAGCACAGACCACAGUUUCAGAUAAAUUAAGGGAUAAGUUCCCUGAUGAACUAGAAUCAAGGUGGAUUUAUAGAAUUCUAGCAAGACAUUAUUUUUCUCUUGGCUGAGGCAGAUAUUUUUCUCACUGAAAAUGGGAGAUACAGAUUUUGUGGGGGUGACAUAUUGGCUAAAUUGUUGUCUCGAGUUUGUAAAGAAGAGAGAAAUUUAUUUAUUAAAAUGUUUUUCAAGAAGAAAUUGUAUGCUUUAGCAUAAUUACUGAUAGUUAAGAAAAGAAUCUUCCACUGUAGUUAUGAACACUAUUUAAAGCGGGAUGAAAUUGUCAAGAAUUCUGUUUAUAAUGACUUUGUCUGCUGAACUUAAUUGUGAGGGAGGCCCCAUUUGAGGGAGAAAGCACACCACAGAACAAAAGGGGUAAAUUUUUUUCAUUUUACUGUUGGAAUAUUAUCCUUUAUUCUUUCAUCUGUUUUCAACUUAUGGUAGCGAUUAUGAGUGCUAAUGAGACAUCUGAUCUUGCUUCAGGCAGUCAUUUUCUGGUUAACACAACAGGGGUAUCAAACAUCUAUUCUAGUGUUAUAGAAGAGCAAUGGGCUGGGGUCACAUAUUCUUGUCUUGUACCUACCCAGUCAUGACAAUUCUUUUCUCUUACCUGAAAUACUUAUUACACUAUUUUAUUUUCUGUCUGCACCUCUUAUAUGAACUCCUUGUCACUAAUUUAUGUCAGGAAAAGAUAUAACUCUUACAGGUGUUUCCAAUUUAGAAGCCAGUCAGAACUAUUUGAAAUAUUUUUUUCCUUUGGGGAGCUAAUUGUAGUCAAGUUGAAAAGUACAGAUGUGUUGUUUAGUUCAAGAAACAAGUGGUGACUGAUGAGCAGAAGUAGCGCUUGAACCUGGGACCCAAGAAGUAGAGUUUAAUAAAUUGGGGUAUCAGUCUACAGAGAAAGUACCAUUUGAAAACAUGAUUUCUUUCAUGUUGACUUAAUUUUUCAGAAACUGUAACCAAACCUGGCAGUUCUGAGCCAUUCGCUUCAUCAGCCUUAUUUAUCAGCAGAAAGUCAGACAAUGCUUUUGGGCCUGUAUUCCUCUACCACUGACAAUUAUACAUAUAGACAGCACUGCUGGUAUUAUGUAACAUGCCCAGUGGAACUAGGCAAGCAGUUUUUAUUUAAAGGAAGCAUCCUUGCAUAGACUCAAAAUCUGUGUAAAAAGCAUUUACAAAAGGUUUGAUUAAUUAACAUGAAUUUUGUUAUUGAGGAAAUAUCUUGUUCAUUGCCACUGCUUUUUCAUUAUGACAUGAUCACUUGUACAUCAAACUCUUCUAGUGUCUACUUUUCACAAACUAAAUUUGGUUCCAAUUAGCUAUUUACAGGAGGUAGCCGUGAGAUCUUUUGUCCUUUGCUCAGGGACAUGAUA